GGGUGAAGUGAAAGCAGGUGAAAAGCGUUAUACUUGGCCUCCGGAGCCAAAGGCCGCAAGUUCGAAUCUUGCAUUGCCCACCA
rnacentral:tRNA from 1 species